rnacentral:rRNA from 1 species
AUUGAACGCUGGCGGCAUGCUUUACACAUGCAAGUCGAACGGUAACAGGGAGCUUGCCCCGCUGACGAGUGGCGAACGGGUGAGUAAUGCGUCGGAACGUGCCGAGUAGUGGGGGAUAACGCAGCGAAAGUUGUGCUAAUACCGCAUACGUACUGAGGUAGAAAGUGGGGGACCUUCGGGCCUCACGCUAUUCGAGCGGCCGACGUCUGAUUAGCUAGUAGGUGAGGUAAAGGCUCACCUAGGCGACGAUCAGUAGCGGGUCUGAGAGGAUGAUCCGCCACACUGGGACUGAGACACGGCCCAGACUCCUACGGGAGGCAGCAGUGGGGAAUUUUGGACAAUGGGCGGAAGCCUGAUCCAGCCAUGCCGCGUGUCUGAAGAAGGCCUUCGGGUUGUAAAGGACUUUUGUCGGGGAGGAAAUCCCCAGCGCUAAUACCGCUGGGGGAUGACAGUACCUGAAGAAUAAGCACCGGCUAACUACGUGCCAGCAGCCGCCGUAAAAC